rnacentral:rRNA from 1 species
GAUGAACGCUGGCGGCGUGCCUAAUACAUGCAAGUCGAACGGGAGACCUCAUUUCGAUGGGGUUGAGAGUGGCGCACGGGUGAGGAACACAUGGCUGACCUGCCCUUCAGAGGGGGAUAACGGCUGGAAACGGCUGCUAAUACCCCAUACGCUCCUUGGGAUUAGAGGCCUGAGGAGGAAAGCCUUCGGGUGCUGAAGGAGGGGCUGUGGCCCAUCAGCUUGUUGGUAGGGUAACGGCCUACCAAGGCGACGACGGGUAGGGGGCCUGAGAGGGUGACCCCCCACACUGGGACUGAGACACGGCCCAGACUCCUACGGGAGGCAGCAGUAAGGGAUCUUGCGACAAUGGGCGAAAGCCUGACGCAGCGACGCCGCGUGAAGGAAGAAGGUCUUCGGAUUGUAAACUUUUGUCUUUGGUGACGAUAAUGACGGUAGCCAAGGAGGAAGCCACGGCUAACUACGUG